rnacentral:rRNA from 1 species
UGCAUCAUGAUUUACAUUUGAGUGAGUGGCGAACUGGUGAGUAACACGUGGGAAACCUGCCCAGAAGCGGGGGAUAACACCUGGAAACAGAUGCUAAUACCGCAUAACAACUUGGACCGCAUGGUCCGAGUUUGAAAGAUGGCUUCGGCUAUCACUUUUGGAUGGUCCCGCGGCGUAUUAGCUAGAUGGUGGGGUAACGGCUCACCAUGGCAAUGAUACGUAGCCGACCUGAGAGGGUAAUCGGCCACAUUGGGACUGAGACACGGCCCAAACUCCUACGGGAGGCAGCAGUAGGGAAUCUUCCACAAUGGACGAAAGUCUGAUGGAGCAACGCCGCGUGAGUGAAGAAGGGUUUCGGCUCGUAAAACUCUGUUGUUAAAGAAGAACAUAUCUGAGAGUAACUGUUCAGGUAUUGACGGUAUUUAACCAGAAAGCCACGGCUAACUACGUGCCAGCAGCCGCGGUAAUACGUAGGUGGCAAGCGUUGUCCGGAUUUAUUGGGCGUAAAGCGAGCGCAGGCGGUUUUUUAAGUCUGAUGUGAAAGCCUUCGGCUCAACCGAAGAAGUGCAUCGGAAACUGGGAAACUUGAGUGCAGAAGAGGACAGUGGAACUCCAUGUGUAGCGGUGAAAUGCGUAGAUAUAUGGAAGAACACCAGUGGCGAAGGCGGCUGUCUGGUCUGUAACUGACGCUGAGGCUCGAAAGUAUGGGUAGCAAACAGGAUUAGAUACCCUGGUAGUCCAUACCGUAAACGAUGAAUGCUAAGUGUUGGAGGGUUUCCGCCCUUCAGUGCUGCAGCUAACGCAUUAAGCAUUCCGCCUGGGGAGUACGGCCGCAAGGCUGAAACUCAAAGGAAUUGACGGGGGCCCGCACAAGCGGUGGAGCAUGUGGUUUAAUUCGAAGCUACGCGAAGAACCUUACCAGGUCUUGACAUACUAUGCAAAUCUAAGAGAUUAGACGUUCCCUUCGGGGACAUGGAUACAGGUGGUGCAUGGUUGUCGUCAGCUCGUGUCGUGAGAUGUUGGGUUAAGUCCCGCAACGAGCGCAACCCUUAUUAUCAGUUGCCAGCAUUAAGUUGGGCACUCUGGUGAGACUGCCGGUGACAAACCGGAGGAAGGUGGGGAUGACGUCAAAUCAUCAUGCCCCUUAUGACCUGGGCUACACACGUGCUACAAUGGAUGGUACAACGAGUUGCGAACUCGCGAGAGUAAGCUAAUCUCUUAAAGCCAUUCUCAGUUCGGAUUGUAGGCUGCAACUCGCCUACAUGAAGUCGGAAUCGCUAGUAAUCGCGGAUCAGCAUGCCGCGGUGAAUACGUUCCCGGGCCUUGUACACACCGCCCGUCACACCAUGAGAG